CUCCUCUCGGAGUCGCACCUGAAGGGUUUCCAGUACUCUGCCAGUCUCAACUACCGGAGGGAGAGUCAAGCAGAGGCUUACCCAUUCCAUUCCUAGCUUGGGCAGUGGCUAGCGAGUGGAAGGCCAUCAGCUACAGGU